rnacentral:rRNA from 1 species
UACGUAGGUGGCAAGCGUUGUUCGGAAUUAUUGGGCGUAAAGGGCGCGUAGGCGGUUUGUUAAGUCGGCUGUGAAAGCCCGGGGCUCAACCCCGGAGGGUCAGCCGAUACUGGCAGACUAGAGUACGGAAGAGGUAGCUGGAAUUCCCGGUGUAGCGGUGAAAUGCGUAGAUAUCAGGAGGAACACCAAUAGCGAAGGCAGCUCGCUGGGACGGUACUGACGCUAAGGUGCGAAAGCGUGGGGAGCGAACAGG